rnacentral:lncRNA from 1 species
CUCCUUAUCUUUAUCUCUGCCAUACAUAACAUAUCUAUCUUCCAGAGAUGUUGGCUGAGCUUUCCAUGACUGGUUGCUCUCCACUGGAAUCUCCUUCAAAUCAAGACACUCCUUUUGUUUUAAAAUGUCAUCUAAUCUUUCAACUAAGUCUUCCAACUUACUAAUACUAACAAUCUUCUUCCUCUUGAAAAGGCCAGAAAAGGAAUCGCUUACCUCCUUUUGAGUAGCAGCUUUAGUAGAG